rnacentral:rRNA from 1 species
AUUACGUCCCUGCCCUUUGUACACACCGCCCGUCGCUACUACCGAUUGAAUGGCUUAGUGAGGCCCUCGAAUCGAUUUUCGGAGACUGGCAACAGUUUCCGUCUGUUGAGAAGUUGGUCAAACUUGGUCAUUUAGAGGAAGUAAAAGUUGUAACAAGGUUUCCGUAGGUGAACCUGCGGAAGGAUCAUUA